rnacentral:ncRNA from 1 species
GCGCACGUUACGGUAAGAACAGGCAGAUCGUAAAGACGCCGUAAAUCCGUCCCUGGGGCUCGAGCCGCGCCAUCCCUGGCGCGGACGCUUU